UGCUUUAAUCCCUGCUCUGAUCAAUAAUAUAAUUAAGAACACUUUUAUCGUAUUUCCAAAGCAUUAGUUCCUGAAGUAACAACUCUUCACGAGUCCCCUGCGCCCGCGUAUUGCCGCACAUGGCCAUGUUUAAUCCCAUUUAACUUAAGUACCAUGAGACAGCUCGUAAAAAGCCCUAACAUUGACAGUGAGGUGGAUGUCAGGCAGGGAGUUGCUGUCAUGCUGCAAGUUGGCAUAAAGGAUUGUAUUCAUCCCAAUUCUCCCAAUCUCCUAGAGUAUGAAGAAGAAAAAAAAAA